AAAAGACAGGAAGAACUAAUUGAGCAUGCAGACAGAGGGAAGCAGAAAGCGCUACCCAACAGAGAUAACUCGAAGGAGCUGCACCUCAUUUGCUUCACAAAUUUUCUUUUUAAAUGCCUGGAAGGGUUAUUUUUUUCCCCAUGCAAACGAAGGCAUUCACACUGCACCUUGAGCAACUGGUGCAGCAUGCAGAAAGAUCUAAGACAGCAAGCACCUGAACGUUGCUUUUGCAGAUGCAGCUGGGAGAAAAAUAAUACGGUAAGAGCAGUUCACUCUGUCCUUAAGCAUACUCAGUGUCAGUCUAAAGCAACGCCAAAGGGAACCAAGACAGGCAAACAGUCCCUACAACGGGAUUUAAUGCCUCAGAAGUUCCCUGUGAGUUAUUCAGCAUCAUAUCCACGUCCCAUCUCCCCUAAGCCCCCUCAAAGCUCAAAUGCAUGUUCAGAAGUACUGACUUCCAAGGGCUAAAUAGAUGGCAAAUUUCACAUUAACUCAUCAAGAGGCUGUAUCCUAUGGGAAAGCACAGUGCAUGGUAGCAACGUGACAGCUCUGCCACACCAGCACGGGACUGGUGUAAAAAGCAGACCGGGACAUUCAUGAUGGACAUGUAACAGCACUCCCCAGGCGUAGGACACAGUCUUCCUUCAAUACAUCACCGUCACUUUGCCAGCUGCCUCCCGGCACCGCUUCUUUGCCAAAAGCAGAACAGACUUCGGGCAGCAGAAACCACACGCGAUUCGAAAUGUGCAGAAUUAGCCACCACACCAAGCCAGAAAUUUAAAAAUAUUUCAAAAGAAUCCAACUUUAACUUCGCCUGGGAAAUGCUAAAGCAUUUAAGUGGGACUAACUACAUACCAGCUUGGACAGUUACACACCAAUUCAGCUUUGUGCAAUGAAUAUCGUCCAAUUGCUUUAAAAGCUUUGUCUUCUGCGUUUCUUACUCAUAGGGGUAGUGUUACAUUGGAAAAGUUUAGAUCCUGGCUUCCCACAGAAGCACACAGCGAAUGAAGUCAAUGGAAACAUUCCUGUUGACUUCACAACAGAGGUGAUGGGGCCCUUAAUCACCAGUGAUGUAAUUAAUGCACAGUGAUAGCUACAUCCUGUCAGAGCGGCACAAGUUGAAAUGACACAUCCUCAUCUUGAGCUUCCGUUAGCUGCGAAGGAACGUGUUUAUUUUCUGAUGGCCACGCUCUGGGUGCACACCAGCGGGUCUGAAUGAAGAGAUCACGUGGGAAACUGCUCUUCCCAUAGCAACUCACUCUAAAGACUUCAUCAAAAAGCAAGCUCUCGACACACUCAGAUUUUCAACUCAGAGAAAGGAAGGGUGGGAGCUGAGAGCUGCAGCUCAUCUCACCUGCUGGGACUGGCUGUGAUUUCUGCAGGACUGACCCUCACCAUUUGAUUUUAUUUUUAAUUUUAAUGCCCCUCUCCUACUGGUUCCUGAUUUCCAUUUUCUCCCCACCCUCUAACCAGCCUCCCUCACCUCGGGACCCCCUUUACUGUUGUCAGGACAGAGAUCCCAUUCAACAGAGGUGGAACAAAACAUAUGUACGUCUAUAAACCGAGGUAGAUUUGAUUUCCAGCCCUCAUCUUGCAUUAAAGCCCCCGGCUCAAAGCCAGCUUGGCCCAAUUGUUUCUUGGACCUGGGCCAUAUUUAAAGUUUCAUGCUGAAGCAGGAAGAAAGCAGAGAAAUCUCCCUGCAGUUUCAGGGUCACAGCGCACAGAACAGGACCGUGCCCGUGCCAUGACUGCACCCCGAGGACCUGCAGCCUGGGGCAGCACCAAGACACGGCAGCAGGAUUGCAGCGCGUUUGAAUUCAGACAGAUGAAAUAUGCUCCCACACCGCAAAGCUGCCCACGAGUCUGUGUCAGUGUGAGUGCUGCCCAGCAGAGGCUAAAACAAUGCUGACCCCCACGUGCUGCCCACGUGCCACAUCCCCAUGGUUCUGGGGCACCUCCAGGGAUGGUGACCUCACCACCUCCUGGGCACCCUGUGCUGCUGCAGCACUGCUCUUUCUAAGAAACGUUCCCUAGUAUCCAACCUGACACUCCCUUGGUGCAACUUAGGGCCAUUACCUCUUGUCACAGGCCAUACACUUCACUGUACGGGCACCUUUCUGACCCCAGUCACCACCAGAAUUAAGGACUGGUAAAUGCAGGGGUGGAUUCUGACCAAAGGUACUUCUGUGUUCUCUGACUCAGGUUAUGGGCAGCAGCCUGACCUGUCCAGCUCCUCAGACACAGCCAGCACCUCCCUGCUGCAGCACUGCUCCCACCAGCUGACACUGCUCUCCCGGUCAGGGCUUCUAAGGUAAGAUCUCCAAACGAAUCUCACGUUGGAUAAGUAAACAAAAAAACACAGAGGAAAAUAUUUUUAGAGAAACCUGGCACUGCCUUUCCCUCAGGAGGACUCCCUGGUCACCCUUGGCUGUCACCACAUCCCUGCCACCAGACCCUGCCAUCCCUGCUGGUGGCCUUGGCCAGUUGAGGCUCUGGGGUGCUCGACUGUCCGGAGACAAAUAUCAGGUUGAGGAUACAACCGAUACGUGCGCUGCAUUGGUCAUUUAAAAACCAAACAACCCCCAACCUUAUCUCCUCCAUGUAAUCUGAAUCUGCUUGGUUAAACGGGAGGAUGCGCACGAAUCAGGACAGCAAGGCUCUCUGUUACCUCCCCAGGAGCACGCUGACAGCACGCCCGGCCAUGUGCGACCUGCUUUCUCCGUGCACCGGGCACCCAAAUCCAACAAAGGAGAGGGUAACGCUGACAGGAGCACAGCUUGGGGCAGGAGGAGCACAGACCCAGGGUGCUGUAUCUUCCGCUUCCGCAGUGCUCCCGAUUUAUUUGUAUUACCUUGUUUUUAUCACAGCUCUGCAGACUCAGCACAAACAACCUGCUACCUCAGGUUUCCCCGUGAAACAGAGGAUGGAAACUGACCCACCGCCUGUAGGCACAUGGACUGAGCGUGUGCCCCACAGCUCCAGGCCAUGUGGCAGAUGGACGAUGGACUCAAUAAUCUUGGCGAGUCCCUUCCAUCUGAACUCUUCUGCUCUAUGUGGUUACCUUGGGGUACGCAGGUGACUUCAUUUCUCCUGAUGACCCACGCACCAACACCGCUCCUAUUUGAUGCACGUCAUACCUUUCUAUUAACAUUUGUGGAAAUUUUAGGUGGCUUUUUACCAGGAAAGCCCCAGUACGUCGUGUUUGCCCCAGGCAAUACAGGAGCAGCCAACGCAGCAUUCUGACGUGGUACAGCUGAUACGCUGACCAGAACACGUCAAGCACUGUCGUGAUGUCCAAAGUCACUUCUUCCAAGAGAUAAAAGAGCGCGCACACUGCGAUCCACCCUAUUACCUCACCACCAACCAGAAAGGACCAGAAACAACAAAUACCACCCAACAGCCUAGACAGAGGCUCUGAGUUUAUUAAAAAAAAAAAAAAGGCAUAAAAAUGUGUUUGGCAUUAUGCUUCUGCAGCAGCUAGCGGGGGCUUAGAGAGAUAAUACCAAUGCCUUUCAAUCCCAAAUCCUCCUGGCUGCCUUUCACUCAGGCUCCUCCAAGCACCCAGGUAUUUAGAUCCCAGAGAGUCCAAGGCACAGCUCCCAAGGGCACACUUCUGCCCCGUGCUCAAGGGAGAAGGGUUCAGCCCAGGUACAGUAAUACAAUCCAGCAUUUCUCCUGCCCUUGUGCAGAUGGCUCUGCGAGACUGCAAAGUCCCAAACCAAGAAAUCCCAUGGCCCUGUUCCCACAGAGCUAUGGAGCAGUCACAGCGCUGUGGACGAGGCAGACGUGGUCUCAGAUGCCAACCCCUAACGCCCAGCAUUAGCUGCAUUCACACUGCUCUGCUCGCAGGUUUCCCAGGAAAUCUAGUUGCUAUGCAAUUUAAAAAAAAAAAAAAAGUUAACUGCCUGAUAUUUCUGUUCCUGUGGCAGCAGGCUUAAAUCUUAUGGGAGAACGCUUAUCCCUACGCUCUCCUUCCUGUAAGUCUUUUAGGACAACUCCCCUCUAUUGCAACGUAUUGCUGCACUUUCCCUGAACCCCUGCUGUACCUUAACUCCUUCCUGCGCUGCUCCUCUCCUGCCUCUUUCACAUCUUUUCAUGUGACACCGCAGCUUCUGCUGCUGCACUUCACCAGCCUGCUCAGAGGGAACCUGCCUGUCAGAGCCAAUAACUGCCGAGCCUACAGAUCUGCCCAGGGAAAACCUGGCGAUCUGAAGCUUAUUCUCUGCCUCGCAGACUACAAAAGCACAACUGUUUCAAAGAGCCGGCGUCUCCUGAAAAUCCAGCGGCCCGCUCUGCCUUGCAGUGGUCAUUUUGCCGUGAUUGAUGUUCAGGAAGUGGAUUGCUUCCCCUCUCGUUAGAUCCUAUCUGGAUUCACGGCAGCUCCAAUCAGCGAAUGCUUUCCGCUCUGGCCCCUUUCAGCAGUGCCUGUCAAUGGCCUUUGAGCCGCAGCAGUGUGGAGGUAUUCAGCCCCUGCAUCCCUAAUUCCUUUCAGCGGAAUCAAGGCUCCGCACACGCUGCCACCCGGGAAAGCCUUGCGAGCAGCUUCCCGUCGGGCGCGCCGUGCCAGCGAUUCAGCUCACCAGGAUGCUUUGUCAAUGUGGUAAUCCCAGCGAUUGUCUGCUUGAACACUUCAUGGCAAUCAAAAGCCAUUUAGGAUUUCAGGAGGAAGAUGCAUUCAGCCCUACCGCAACGCUAAGAGUCCCCAUUAUUCAGCCCUUCCGAGAGCUGACAGCCCCUCUGGAGGUUAAACCAAAAUAGAAGCGCAAUAAAAAGCGAUGCUCUGCCUCCUUCCCAGGGCAGAACGAACCCGAUCCGCUACGUUGCAUCUUUAACCAUUUUAUUUCAUGCUCGGACGUUGCAGAUUUGGAUCCAUACACCUUUCAAGCACGGAACCAUUCAGCAAGCACAAACCAAGGGGUGAGAGCCCUUCCCACUUCCCAUUCUAGCAAGGUGGGGAGGAGGGGGACCAGUUUGGAUAUUGGCAAACAUUUCUUCUCAGAAAGAACAAUAAUGCGUUGGCACAGGCUACGCAGAGAGCGGUGGGGUCACCGUCUCUGGAGGUGUUUCAGAAUUGUGUAGAAUUGGGGACACAAUCAGUGGGCACGGUGGGGGUGGGCUUGGGGAUCUGAGAUCUUUUCCAACCUCAGCGAUUCUAUGAAUGAGGAAACACCCACAACCAACCCCACCUGAGGGCCAUGCUGGGAGAACUGCCCCUUCUGGGAUCCCUGACACGAGGCUGAUGGCUGCCGGGCAAACUGCUCUGCCCAGGACCUGUUACACGUGUCCCAACGCGACUCCAUGUAAAUGCGAAUUGCGCAGCUCGUGGGAGCCGCAACCCAGCACGCUCCAACCCACACGGUAAAGAAAAAUACAUAACCCUGAAGAAACACAUUCUUUCGCCUAUUUCAAAGCAUCAGUCACACACCCUUUGUAACUUAAUUACAGAUCGUCUGCUGGAAGAAGGCGUUAAGGCUCCAUUAAAACCGACUCUGGUGUCUGAUGUGCUUCAGACUGCCCCAGCUGAGCCAUUUCGCCACCCCUGACGCUGAUACGAAGAGAAGCAGCGGGAGGAGGCGGCCGGGCCACGGGGCCAGGCACGUCCCAGGGAUGGAGCGGGGUUCGUCCCAGCACAGGAAUAAAGGAAGGGGACGUUUUAUUGGGGAAGACCCGCCCUGGAACCCCCGCUGCACCCAGCUGGCACGCAGCUCUUAACUCUUUCCGAUCCCAGCCCAGCACCAGAAGAACGGGCGCGUUUCGGCGGGGCUCUGCGCGGCCACAUCUCCGCACGGUGCGGGCCAGGGCGUGACAGCGGCACACGGCACACGGCCGCGCCCGGAGGGCAGCGCACCCCGCACCGCUGCCGCUACCUGCUCCAGCACAGCGCGCAGCGGCUGCCGCCACCCUUUGUUCCCAGACACGUUUCUGGGUCUCCGCUCCGCUCAGUCAGUCACGGAUCCGCGGACGGACGGCGGAUCCCCAACUUUCUCGCUCCAACAGCUCUCGCCACGAGCGGAGCACGCUCGCAGCGCAGCGCCGGGCCCGCGGCACACGCCGAGGAGCGCUGCGAUGAGCCAGGGCUGAGCGCGGGGCCGUGCCCGGGCCCCGGUGACCACCGCGGCUCAGCGCGGGGCUCCGUCCCUCCCUCGGCCGCGGCGCCGCCGCUCCAUCCCCGAGGCGCGGCCCCCGGCAGAGCUCCGCCCGCCUCCCCCUCUCUCUCACCGGUGCGCAGCCACGGCGCGGCUCCUCAGAGUGCUUCAGCUUCAAACGCUGCAGCCUCCAAGCCCUGACAUUUUAAAGGAAAAAACCUCCAGCCUUAACAGAAGCAAUACAUCUAGUCCAGCCCACUGCCCACCCACUUAUCACUGUGGUUUCUUCCACUUCCUACGCAGUUUUGCAUCUCCAAUUGCCAGUCUUUCCCUUUGCAUCUUGUAAAAGAAGUUAUUUAUACUGCGGUGUCAUCUCCGACAAGCUCAGACGAAAGUCUCAGCAUAUGGCAGCCUGUUAUUGAGCAAGGAGCGUUGCGAAAGAGAGCACCAUACCAACCUUUCAUGACGCAAACAGGCACGUAGGAUGGGUUUUUACAGUCUUUCUAUAGUAAGGGCCACAGUUGUGGGAACUGGCAGGUAAUGCUACAAACCAGUUAUUUGGCAAAUGAUGAUAUAUCUUGGAAAGGAAUGCUUUUAAAUGGCUUUAUUGCUCCUGUGAUAGUGCAAGCCUGAUAGCGAGGUCAGCACCAAUGAACUCAGCAGCAAUAAAUACCACGAGUGUCAUAAUGGUUGAUUGUAUUAAAUAAAAGAGAAACUGGAGAAGAAAUAGAAGCAAAUAAAAGAAAAGCAGGCGGUCUGCUGUUAGUUGCCAACAAGAGGAACGCAGCGGUAUUGCGUGAGAUGUGUGUUUGUGGGAACGGGAAGAAAAGUAGAACUGAAAGGCAAAAGGCAGGGAAAGUGGGAAAAAAAAAAAUGUAAUUCUCUACUACGUCCCAGGAUUUACAAUGCUUUGCUGCUAUUCUUAACUGUUGUUGCCCUGAUCUCUUUCUCCUGGGGCUACCCUCAGCCUGGGCCACUCUGGAUUUUUUUAUUCCCCUUUGAAAAACUUCCUCAAAAGGAUCCUCACACAACUCUGCUUCUCCCCUCUCUCCACAAU